rfam:Thermomicrobium roseum DSM 5159 plasmid, complete sequence.
CGGACUGGGGUGAGGGGCACACGGUGGAUGCCUAGGUGGUCAGGGCCGAGGAAGGACGCGGCCGAGCGGCGAAACGCCCCGGGGAGCUGCGGGCGAGCGGAGAUCCGGGGGUGUCCGAAUGGGGCAACCUGGCGCGGUGGGGAGCCGCGUCGCCCUCUUGGGAAGGGUGAGAGGGGGACCUCUUGCUCGACUGGGAGGGUGGGCACCGGGGGAAGUGAAACAUCUCAGUACCCCGAGGAAGAGAGAGCGAUUCCCGGAGUAGUGGCGAGCGAAACGGGAGGAGCCCAAACCGUCGUCGCCCAGAGGGCUGCCGUCCGGAAGCGGCGACGGGGUUGGACGGCCUGUCCGGGCCAAGCGGCAGGGCGGCCGCGGGUGCCUGAGUGGGAGCCGAACGCUGCUGGAAGGGGCGACCGGAGAGGGUGAGAGUCCCGUAGGCGGACUGCUCAGGUGCUCGUGGGACAGGUGCGUGAGUACCACGGGGCACGAGGAACCCUGUGGGAAGCUGGGGGGACCACCCCUCCAAGGCUAAACACCCUGACCGACCGAUAGUGGAGAGUACCGUGAGGGAACGGUGAAAAGGACCCCGGCGAGGGGGGUGAAAGAGCGCCUGAAACCGUGUGCCCACAGGCGGUCGGAGCCGCGCUGAGCGGUGACGGCGUGCCUAUUGGAGCAUGAGCCGGCGAGUGGCCGGGCGUGGCGAGGCGAAGGGGGAGGCACCUGGAGCCGGAGCGAAAGCGAGUCUGAAGAGGGCGAGAAAGUCGCGCCUGGCCGACCCGAAACCGGGUGAGCUACCCCUGGCCAGGCUGAAGCGCGGGGGAGACCUGCGUGGAGGGCCGAACCGGUGUCCGUGGCAAAGGGCUCGGAGGAGCUGGGGGUAGGGGUGAAAUGCCAAGCGAACCCGGAGAUAGCUGGUUCUCCCCGAAAUGGCUUGAGGGUCAGCCUUGCUGGGAGGCAGCUGGAGGUAGAGCACCGUUUCGGUGCGGGGGCGUUGGCCUACCAAGCCGAGGCGAACUCCGAAUGCUGGCUGCUGGUCGGCAGGAGUGAGACCUGGGGCGAAAAGGUUCUGGGUCGAGAGGGGAACAGCCCAGACCGCCGGCUAAGGUCCCCAAGUCCGGGCUGAGUGGUCAAGGAGGUGCGGGUGCGCAGACAACCAGGAGGUUGGCUUAGAAGCAGCCAUCCUUGAAAGAGUGCGUAACAGCUCACUGGUCGAGCGCCCGUGCGCCGAAAAUGACGCGGGGCGAAGCCCGGCACCGAAGCCGCGGGUCGCGCGCUGCGGGAGGCGGCGUGCGGCGGUAGGGGAGCGUCGGCGUCGGCGGGGAAGGUGCGGCGGGAGCCGUGCUGGAGCGGCGCCGAGUGCGAAUGCCGGCACGAGUAGCGGAAGGGCGGUGAGAAUCCGCCCCGCCGGAGAGUGCCGAAGGGUUCCGCAGCGAUGCUCGUCAGCUGCGGGUGAGGCGGUCCUCAGCUGAGGGCGGAAGCCGUAGGCGAGGGGCAGCCGGUCAAGAUUCCGGCCCCACCGGCGCCCGAUCGAGCGAUGGGGGGACGCCAGGCCGAGGGUCCGGCGGUCGGAGGGACCGUCCAAGCCAGAGGGCGUGGCCGAGGGAAAGCCCGGCCGGAAGCGCCGACUGGCGAGUGCGAGGCGGGGGUGCGGCCCUGCCGAGCGGAUCUGGCGGUCUGGCCGAGAAAAGCCUCUAGCGAGGGCGGCGGUGACCGUACCGCAAACCGACACAGGUCGGCUGGUGGAGGACACCGAGGCGGACGGGAGAACCCCCGUCAAGGAACUCGGCAAAUUGCCCCCGUAACUUCGGGAGAAGGGGGGCCCCGGUAGGGUGAUGAGCCCGAGGGGGUUGCAGAGAGCAGGCCCGCGCGACUGGUUACCAAAACCACAGGUCUCGGCGAAGGCGGAAAGCCGACGUAUCGGGGCUGACGCCUGCCCAGUGCCGGAAGGUGAACCGGAGGGGUGGAGAGCCCCGAAGGGAAGCCCCGGUGAACGGCGGCCGUAACUAUAACGGUCCUAAGGUAGCGAAAUUCCUCGUCGGGUAAAUUCCGACCCGCACGAAAGGCGUCACGACGUGGGCACUGUCUCGACGGGGGGCCCGGUGAAACUGCUGGACCCGUGCAGAAGCGGGUGACCCGCGGCGGGACAAAAAGACCCCGUGGAGCUUGACUGCAGCUUGCCACUGGGUGCGGGCCCGGCCUGUGCAGGAUAGGUGGGAGGCUGAGAAGCGGGGCCGCCAGGCUCCGUGGAGCCGCCGGUGAGAUACCACCCUGGCGGGGUUUGCGCCCUCACCUGGCCCGCGGGAACGCGGGCAGGGACCGUGGCUGGUGGGCAGUUUGACUGGGGCGGUCGCCUCCUAAAGGGUAACGGAGGCGCCCAAAGGUCCCCUCAGGCCGGAUGGCAAUCGGCCGGAGCGUGCAUGGGCAGCAAGGGGGCUUGACUGCGAGGGGGACAUCCCGAGCAGGGCCGAAAGGCGGGCCAAGUGACCCCACGGUUCCGUGUGGGCGGGCCGUGGAUCAACGGAUAAAAGCUACCCCGGGGAUAACAGGCUGAUCGGGCCCAAGAGUUCACAUCGACGGCCCGGUUUGGCACCUCGAUGUCGGCUCGUCGCAUCCUGGGGCUGGAGGAGGUCCCAAGGGUUGGGCUGUUCGCCCAUGAAAGCGGCACGUGAGCUGGGUUCAGAACGUCGUGAGACAGUUCGGUCUCUAUCCGCCGCGGGCGUCGGACGGUUGCGGGGAGCUGGCCCUAGUACGAGAGGACCGGGCUGGACGGACCGCUGGUGUGCCAGUUGUCGGCCAACCGGCAGCGCUGGGUAGCCAUGUCCGGACGGGAUAACCGCUGACAGCAUCUAAGCGGGAAGCCCACCCCAAGAUGAGCCGUCCCACCCCACACGGGGGUAAGGCCCCGGGGAGAUGACCCGGUAGCGAGGCGGCCGGUGGACAGCGGGUAACCGACUGGAGCCAAGCCGUCCUCAUGGCCGAGGCCAGUCCUCA